AUGUCAUCUUUUAAUAUCUGCUUACAGUAAAGCAUUUACUAUAAAAUAGACACACUCUUACCUUUUCAACCAAGGCCAGCUUACUGUAUCUGACAAACACUAAAUGCAAUCCAUGUUAAUUCCCUCUCCGGUCCCCAGCAGGGCCCAAGUCAGACACAGGACAAUCAGUCAUGGGCUGUGGUUUCCAAAUAGGAGCAUGCCAGCUACUGUUUAAUUGUCUACAUGUACACACUCAAUACAAUAAGCGAUGUCAUUUGCAAGAUUUGAAAGCCACAACGAACCUGUCAGGGCCCAGCAGUCACCUUCCUACAGUUUGGAACAAGUCCAGUUUCCAGUUGUGACUACAUAAAGCAAAACCCUGUAACCUUCAGUGACAGCACAAAGGGAGCUGAAUUCUGCAUUACUAACAGCAAUGACCCCAACACAAUGCUCUUGGGACACACAGGUAUGCUCAACCUAUAUCCCACAGAGGGAAAUGAGCCAUCUUAGGCUCUCAGUGCCACAGGAAAAAAUAUUCGGCGCUCUGAGGGUCUGCAGGUCUACAGGUUUCAACGAGGGACAAGGCGGGUACUCCCACACUGCUCCUCUCGCCACCACUCCUGGCAUGGAUAGUUAAAGACACUGGAUCUCUACAGAGAGGAAUGUUUGCCUCAGGCCACACAGUAAUUCCCCAACAGAUCCAGGCCAAGGACCUAGGCAACCUGGCUGUUCAGCCCCUAUGAGGAGAGUCCUUCGGUGCAUUUUGGCUCAUAGCAAAACAAGCGUGCACAAUGCACAUUACCAUUUGAUGCUGAGGGACCACAGCCAUAUUUCUUGAUGAGGAAAAGCAAGAGGACAGAAAGCAGAAACCAUGCUUCCUCCAGCCCCUGGAUGACUAAAGACUUCAACACAUUUUUCUAAAGCCACCAAGACUUUACAACAGCCUUAGAAUUUCUCUCCUCUGUCUCCCAUGCAUACUGCAUUAAACUUUAUAAAUUCCCCACUUUUUUUUUCCCCAGCUCACUUUUCUCCCUUAGAUGAAACUAAGCCCUAGCGGGCUCUCUAGAUAAGCAAAGCCCUGCUAUAGAGAAACUACUCAAGACAUUAACCUUCUAGGUGAUAAGGUCUUAAUCCAUUUACAGAAUAAAUGUCUCCAGAAAUCGGGGCA
rnacentral:lncRNA from 12 species